rnacentral:rRNA from 1 species
AUACGCACGCACCAUGUGGUAUGCCCGUGGAA